rnacentral:rRNA from 1 species
AGAACGAACGCUGGCGGCAUGCCUAAUACAUGCAAGUCGAACGAACUCUUCGGAGUUAGUGGCGCACGGGUGCGUGACGCGUGGGAAUCUGCCCCUUGGUUCGGAAUAACAGUUGGAAACGACUGCUAAUACCGGAUGAUGACGAAAGUCCAAAGAUUUAUCGCCAAGGGAUGAGCCCGCGUAGGAUUAGCUAGUUGGGGAGGUAAAGGCUCACCAAGGCAACGAUCCUUAGCUGGUCUGAGAGGAUGAUCAGCCACACGUGGGACU